rnacentral:rRNA from 1 species
UGCAGUCGAACGGGAUCCCUGGCAGCUUGCUGCCGGGGUGAGAGUGGCGAACGGGUGAGUAAUGCGUGACCGACCUGCCCCAUGCACCGGAAUAGCUCCUGGAAACGGGUGGUAAUGCCGGAUGUUCCACAUGAGCGCAUGCGAGUGUGGGAAAGGCUUUUUGCGGCAUGGGAUGGGGUCGCGUCCUAUCAGCUUGUUGGUGGGGUAACGGCCUACCAAGGCGUUGACGGGUAGCCGGCCUGAGAGGGCGACCGGCCACAUUGGGACUGAGAUACGGCCCAGACUCCUACGGGAGGCAGCAGUGGGGAAUAUUGCACAAUGGGCGCAAGCCUGAUGCAGCGACGCCGCGUGCGGGAUGGAGGCCUUCGGGUUGUAAACCGCUUUUGUUCAAGGGCAAGGCACGGUCUUUGGCCGUGUUGAGUGGAUUGUUCGAAUAAGCACCGGCUAACUACGUGCCAGCAGCCGCGGUAAUACGUAGGGUGCAAGCGUUAUCCGGAUUUAUUGGGCGUAAAGGGCUCGUAGGCGGUUCGUCGCGUCCGGUGUGAAAGUCCAUCGCUUAACGGUGGAUCCGCGCCGGGUACGGGCGGGCUUGAGUGCGGUAGGGGAGACUGGAAUUCCCGGUGUAACGGUGGAAUGUGUAGAUAUCGGGAAGAACACCAAUGGCGAAGGCAGGUCUCUGG